GGGGGAGUAGCUCAGUUGGUUAGAGCGCUUGCCUGUCACGCCAGAGGUCGCGGGUUCAAGUCCCGUCUCUCCCGCCA
rnacentral:tRNA from 1 species